CAACUCCAGAGGAAUGUAUCCUCGCCUGUUGGACCAUAUGCUCAGGGCUCCAGAUAUGGAGCCUGGCUGUGUUUUCCUGGCCAACAGACACAGUCCAUGGGCCUCCCAAAGCCACAACUAAGCCAGUACCAUCAGAGUGAACCUCAGGACAGCUGCAGAGAAUACUGGAGCAAAAAUGAUCAUGUGCACCUACUGGGCCAACCAGACAGCAAACAGCCCUAGCGGUUGCUGGCAGUCAUUUUGCAACAUUAAGUAAAGCCUCAUCAGAUGAAGUCAACACCACAGAUGGCAGACAGAGACAUGAAAAUAUCUAAUCCUUGGGGGCACACUUGAGCUGCUGAUUCAUGCCCCCCUGAUGCUAGCACUACUCAGCAUUUACCGGUAAUCAGGAGGAUGCAAUUCUACAUCUUGACACUGAAUGUGACAUCUUUGAGUUUCUCCCAGAAAGUGGAUUUUAAAAGUUCUUUUCUUCCUUAUAACAAUUCUUGAAAGAGACUUAAAAUUCAAAUCCAUAUUCAACUAAUGCUUACAGAGAAAAGAGAAUGUCAACAUAUCAUUAGACAGUUGACCACGG
rnacentral:lncRNA from 1 species